rnacentral:rRNA from 1 species
AGUUUGAUCCUGGCUCAGAACGAACGCUGGCGGCGCGCUUAAGCAUGCAAGUCGAACGGCAAGAGGUAGCAAUACCUCCUAGAGUGGCGGACUGGUGAGUAACACGUGGGUGACAUACCCUUCAGAUGGGGAUAGCUAUUAGAAAUAGUAGAUAAUACCGAAUACGAGCACAGGGGUUAGAGAUCUGUGAGGAAAGGAGCUAAGGCUCCGCUGAAGGAAUGGCCUGCGGCCCAUUAGCUAGUUGGUGAGGUAAGAGCCCACCAAGGCGAUGAUGGGUAUCCGGCCUUAGAGGGUGAACGGACACAUUGGGACUGAGAUACGGCCCAGACUCCUACGGGAGGCAGCAGCUAAGAAUAUUCCGCAAUGGACGAAAGUCUGACGGAGCGACGCCGCGUGGAUGAAGAAGGCCGGAAGGUUGUAAAAUCCUUUUGAAACUGAAGAAUAAGCGUUGUAGGGAAUGACAGCGUGGUGACAGUAGGUUUUGAAUAAGCAACGGCUAAUUACGUGCCAGCCGCCGC